rnacentral:rRNA from 1 species
AUGGCGGGCUUGACCAGCGACAGCGAUGAUAAUGAUAAGUUUGAGUGGGAAAGUGAUGGUGAGGCUGCGCCCUCAUCAGCUCCGACCUUGAGGAACUUGGAUGCUCCUGGCCCGUCCACGCUGGUACGUCAGAAUUCUAACGGGUGGGCCAACGGGGAAGCAACCUCUACUUCUUUAGUCGAGGAAUAUGUGACAAUGGGUUUCCCAAAAGACAUGGUUGUGAAGGGCAUUAAGGAGAUUGGGCACAAUGAUGUAAAUGCGUUGCUAGAGCUACUUCUCACAUAUAAGGCACUAGGUGAUGAGGGUGCAUUGGGUGAUUGCUCUACGUCUGGCUGUGCCUGCCCAAAUGUUCAAGAUGAUGAUGAUGAUGAUCUUGAUUCCGAUAACUGGGAUAACGACAAUGAUACUGGUGGUAGAGAGCACAACUCUGAUAGUUCUGGUGAUGAGGAUUUUCUAAAAGAGAUGUCGGCGAAGGACGAGAAGAUAAACUUAUUAGUAGACAUGGGCUUUUCUGAAGAUGAAGCCAAUAUGGCUAUGACAACAUGUGGUGUGGAUGCUGAUCUCUGUGUAUUAGUUGAUUCGAUUAGUGCAUCACGGGUUGCAGGAGAUUGCCAUUCCAGAAAUUUAUUUGACGAUCAGGUUAUGGAUAGAUGCUUUGAUUCCUUUGGAGAGAGAGAGAAAGCAAGAUUGAUGGAAGAGCGCAAGAAAAAGAGGAAGCGAUAUGGAGGUGGAUCACAUGGCAAUCGAUCUUCCUUGGAUGGUAGCGAUGAUGAACAAAUGCAUCUCCCAAAUCCAAUGGUUGGAUUUAACCUGCCCGGUUAUAGGCGGCCAUCAGUGAUGAGAAUGCUUCCUCAACAAGCUAUUGGACCACCUUUUUUCUACUAUGAAAAUGUGGCCCGAACUCCAAGAGGUGUAUGGGAGACCAUUUCAAGAUUUCUGUAUGACAUUGAACCAGAGUUUGUGGAUUCUAUGCAUUUGUCUGCAGCUGCAAGGAAAAGAGGCUACAUCCAUAAUUUACCAAUUGAGAACAGAUCACCUCUUCUUCCUCUGCCUCCAAAGACCAUAUUUGAGGCAUUUCCUCAUUAUAAGAAGUGGUGGCCUUCUUGGGACCCGAGAAGACAACUCAAUUGUUUGCAAACAACUGUGGCAAGUGCAAAGACGACAGAGCGGAUCCAGUGUCUUCUUGCAAGGUCAAGCAAUCCACCACCUCCAAGUGUUCAGAAAUAUGUCAUUGAUGAGUGUAGAAAAUGGAAUCUUGUCUGGGUUGGAAAAAACAAGGUUGCUCCGUUGGAGCCUAAUGAGGUGGAAUAUCUACUUGGUUUCCCAAGGGACCACACAAGGGGGGUCGGCAAGACCGAGAGAUAUAAAUCUCUUGGCAACUCAUUCCAUGUUGAUACUGUUGCUUACCACUUGUCGGUGCUGAGGGACAUGUUUCCUAAUGGUGUUAGUGUGCUGUCCUUGUUCACCGGUAUUGGAGGAGGAGAGGUAGCUUUGCACAGGCUUGGGAUUCACAUGAGGGCAGUGGUUUCUGUUGAGAUAGGUGAAGCUAAUAGGAGGAUUUUGAGGGGUUGGUGGGAUCAGACCCAGACAGGCACGCUGAUUGAGGUUGCUGACGUGAAAUCUCUCACCCCUGAUAUAAUUGCAUCAUACGUUGGUAGAUUUGGCGGCUUCGACUUGGUGAUUGGGGGCAGCCCAUGUAACAAUCUUGCCGGGAGCAACCGACACCACCGUGAUGGCUUGGAGGGCGAGCAAUCUUCUUUGUUCUACCACUACUUCAGAAUCUUGGAUGUCGUCAAGUCGGCUAUGGCGAGGAUGUAG